AUUCUGUCAUUGCCACUCAUUUAAGAAUCACAACAUUGAACAGCACCUGAUAUUCAUCAGGCCAUCAACAUUCCAGCUCAUAAGUUUCCAAGAAUCGGACUGCCAAGACACAAACUCUACGCCAUGUGACGCAGUGUUUGGUGUCUAUUUAAAGGACCAUUAUCUCACCCCCAGGUGUGAUGUUGAUUUGCAAUAACAAGUCAUUCUACCCGCCCGACCCACAUGAUCCCUCCAACCCCAUGAUGGAGAGAUCAACCAGCUGCUCUCCCGCUGCGUCCACCCGCUUCCAUCCCCCUCAUCCCGAAGGUUUGGGGUCUUCGGCCAUGAGCCUGCGGCGGUGGCGCUGAAGUCUCGUCUCGUCUCUGGAUCUCUGACA